GGUAACAUUGUCUGCUCUGUAAAUUCCAUUGGCUUACACUGGUAAUAGAAUUAGACAGAUUCAAAGGCCAUUACGUCGUAUGGGUAACAGAAGUCGGUAAAAGCCAGAGAGGGGAGGAGGUGCAGAACUAAUACUUCCAAGGCAACGGUCUGGUCAACCGCAGAGAAUGUGGUAGAAAGAGGAAGAUGAUUCAGAGAUGCAUGCAACGACACGCAGAUGAACAUACGGAAAUUUGCAGUAUCAUAGGCGACCCUGUUAUGGGGGGGUCACUGAAGCAACGAACCUCUGAGCGACAACCAUCCAGGUGUGACCCCCCCUGCAGGUUGAGAAGGUCCCGAGUGCUCGUUCACCGAAGGAGACCACAGCGCUGCAGCCGUUGCCAG